CGAACGGGUGAGUAAUGUAUCGGAACGUAUCCAAUAAUGGGGGAUAACGAGUCGAAAGAUUCGCUAAUACCGCAUACGCCCUACGGGGGAAAGCAGGGGAUCUUCGGACCUUGCGUUAAUGGAGCGGCCGAUAUCUGAUUAGCUAGUUGGUGAGGUAAAGGCUCACCAAGGCGACGAUCAGUAGCUGGUCUGAGAGGACGACCAGCCACACUGGAACUGAGACACGGUCCAG
rnacentral:rRNA from 1 species